UGCUGGAAUUUAAAAAAAAAAAAAAAGAAAAAAAAAAAGAAGAGAGAGAGAUAAAAUAAGCAAAACUAUAUAAAUAUAUAGAGAGAUAUUUUAUCGUUUAUUAUUAUCGUUGCCAUUUCGACCGCAGCCCUUUGAAGCUGCGUCGUGUGCAAGCACUGGAAAAGCAUCAUGGCUGGCAGGGUAACCUGCCUGGUGACAAGGCUGCAGCCCUGCUGAAGGCACUGCCUGCCUCCUGGACACUUAUUUACAAACCACUUCAAUGAGGACUUUUUUCUUUUCCUUCCCUCUUAGAGCUAAAGAAAAGAAAAAGAGAAUCCUGAAGCACAGCCCCAUGCUCGGGUUUUUUGCCCCUUUUCAUUAAAAACCUGGAUUGGUGGCAGGGGCUGCCCAGGUGGUGUUUGACACCAGAAUAGUUAAGCCAGGUUUAAAAGCAGCACCUCAAAACUCCCCUUUGCACCGCAGAAAUCACUGACCAUAUGCCCGGGCACCCCCACUGCCCAGUCCCGACCUGCAACACAGCCUGAUAGAUGGAUUUGGUUUGUUUGGGUUUUCUAAACCUCUUGUGCAAAAUUAACCUGGGCACUCCAAUUAAGACCGAUCAUGUAAAGUGCAGUCGGGAUUGGUGCCAAACCUGCCCAUGGAUCUUGGAUCACCAGUCUCCCCAUGGCAGUUGUCACGGCUGCCGUGUGAGAGCGUUUGUCUGCUGCAGGCAGAGACAGGGGCUGGUUCUGCAGAGACACGAGGCUUUCCAGUGGAGUUUUGUUCUGUAACAACCAUUUCUCAUGUCUUAUAAUGCUUUAAGAAAUGGAGUGGGUAGAUUAGAGGUUUUUGUGGAUCAGAAGGGAUUUUUUUAUUUUUAUUGCUUUCUCCUUUUUUUUCCCAUUCCCUUUCCCUUUUUUUUUUUAGUUAAAUACCAAGUGAACUUAUGUUAGAACAGGAAGAAUGGGUUUCUCUGAAUUUUCCCAACAGAAACCUGCAGAUGGAGGCCACAGGGUUGGGGCAAGCACCCUGGCACAGGUGAUGGGCUAUUCCCGGGCACAGACUAAAAGCACAGUGCCAGAACAGCUGGAGAGAGGGCAAGAAGCUGUUUUGCUUUGUAAACUAUAAUUAAAAAUAAUAGGUGAGAGCGCAUUAGCAAAACACAACACUAAUUUAAAACCAAUAGAGUUUAUCUGGCAUCUUAUGAUUAUUUAUGUACAUCUUAGUCCUUUCUGUGGUAACUAAUUAUGAGCUGAUAAGAAUCAGAAUAAAGAGGCUGCCAAGUGCAAUUGAAAAAGUAAAUGAAGAGAAAUUAGUUGUUGCCGCAUUAAGAUAAUUUAAUGGGAAAAGAGAACAGGCUUCAACCUCUUGUGAUUUUCCUCCACUCCUCUUUUAUUUGGCCUUUCAUUGUCACAACCAAGGAAACUCAGGGUGCUGCUAGGGGGUCAACCUGCAGAAGACCUCUACUUUGCAUUCUCAUCCUUCAAGGACAGGAAGCAGUUUAAAAAGCCCCCAUUCUCCUUAUUUGAGGCAUCUCAACUUUGUAGCAGCAAAGAAGUGCAUAUUUGUUUGCAAGACAUGCAUUUUCCUCAGCAGAUGGGAUUAAACUGAUAAUGAUGACUCCACACCUUAGAAAUGAUCUCCCAUCACAAGCAAUGAUAGCACUUGAAAACUUCCAACCUCCAACAUCCGGUAUCAAACAGAUUGUCUGCAACCAUUGCACAGGAGAAAAAAAAAUACAAUACAGGACAUAAAGUCAGGAGAACUGGGUUGUUUUCCUCUUUCUGACUCUUCCUUCCCUAGUGAGCUUGGACAAGUCACUUCAACUCCAUGUACCUCACUUUUCCCAGCUAUGAAAUGGGGAGAGUACUCUUAUUUACCCACCUCACAGGGGUGUUGUGAGGAGUCGUUCAGAUUUAUGGAGUGCUUUCACACUUAAUUUGGAAAAGCACUGUGUAAGUACAAAGUGUUAUAGUAUAAACCAUUGUUAAAAUGUGUAGAAGAUGUAGAACAAGGUUGGUAAAAUAGCUGACAAAAAUGUAAUUAUCUUUUAAAAUCAUGCCUAUUUUUCUCUAUUGUAUGAACUUAAUUCUUUAACCUUUCUGCUACUCUGGGUCCUGUUCCAGUGUCUUCCCUCUCACAUCCAUUUUUGCCCAGCUCACAGAGAACCUGGUAAAACUCUUACUAGCCAAAACAAGAGUGAGUUAUUAAAAAAUGGAUGCUUUAGAGGGAAACAGUCCCCGAAAGGGUGAUCCAUGCAUUCAUCUCUCCCACCCUUUGCAUAUGCUAGGCAGAGCCACCAUGGCAUACCAGGGGUGGGAUUCAGUUGCCUAACAUGGAUCUUGAGACAUCUGAGCUGCCUCAGGAUAUCCCACGUGCUCCACAGCUGUCCUUCAGAAGGGCACAUAUAUCCCAUAGGUCUGGUAUUGUAUCUGCCAGCCCCUCACAGAUAUCUCAGCUAAAAUCACACAAUGGUUAAGACAACACCAGACUGUGCAAUUUAAAAGCUUUUGCCACAGCACCUGGAAGGGAGCUGGUUCCCACAGGCAGCACCGUAUUUAUUUUUUUCCCAGAAUCUUAUUAAAGUCCACAAUCAGCUUCUGAAAAAUGUUUCAAGGCUGACACAGAGACAUCUUAAGCUCCAAAAACUAUAAUGAAGCCUGUGGCUUUACCUUGCUCCAUUAGCAUUUCAGGGCAGGAGCAGCAGCACUCCUCACAGGGCUCUUUAUCAACACACCAUAUUUCCAGGCACAUCAGUGCAGCAAUUCCUUCUCCAGCCCACUGAACCCCCAUUCACACCUGAUUUCCACUUUUAAGACAUCAUUGCUCCACUGAAAUGGCAGUUUUGAACACUGCAUGCAAAUGUGUACGAUCUUUUCUCACAGGCUGGUGUGGAGCAGUGCAGCAAUGCAGCAUUCUUCUGCUCAUUUCUAGACUUGGGAAAAAUCCCUGAGGAAAAUUACCGAUUUUCAUUUUAGAGUGUAACAGGGUAAGGGUGAGAUCAGGUUGAAGAAAUGAUGCUGCAGUCCAUUGCUUGCCCCUUGCCCUGUGUACCAGCACUGGCCAGUGGAGUGAGAAGAAAAGAGCAUGUCAGGGACAGUCCCUGGGCACCCCAGCCCUGCUGGGGGCUGCUCCCACCUGAGCAUCCACGGCAGCUCACCCUCUGUGAUGCACAUUUAUACAAACAUGAUCACAAGUACAAAUACUAUCACAACUUGUUGACCACGGUCAAAACAGAAAUCCUGUGGAGGAUUGGAAUUUCUCCUGAAACACGUAACCUGCCAGCUAAAGGUGGAUUCUUCCAGGCAAGGGCAAUUUAAAAUGUUGAGCAAAUAGGUUGUUGACAAUAAACAUAUCCUGCCAAAAAAGAGAGAUUGGAUACACUGCUACAACUAAAUCAUCAGAACUGGUCUGGCUGGUGUUUGGGCAUACACAGACAGUUCAUUGAAAUCAUUUCUGUUUUUAACUUAUGCUGAAUUGAAAUGUUUUAUGUUUUUGCUGUACUUUAAUUAUAUAUAUACUUUAUAUAAAUGUAUGUAUACAUACAGUACUGUAUAUGCUGUAUAUAUUUAUAUAGCUUUUUAAUACUAUUACUAGUCCAGAUUUAGACUUUUUCAUAUGCAGUAUUGCAAAGAAUAUCAUCGCAAUGCUGACAUUUGGCUUCUUCCUUCAUUGCACAGAUAAUUUUUUAGGCAGAAUUUUAUUUCAGACAUGAGUUAAAAAAAAAAAGCCACACAAUGCUUUUUAAGGAAGUGACCUUUUGGGACAGAUAUUUAACGAGCUGUUUGUUUAGGUUUUAAAGAUAAAGACUGUUUUUCAUCUGUUGAUAAACACACACACAUAUGCACGUCAUACACAUACAGACAUACACAGUUCAAUAACACAAUGCAUUGAAAAAACACAGGGUGUUAUGAUGGGGAAGUAUCAUGGUAAGAAAGUAACUACUAACUCUGUCUUCCAGAAACUAAUUAAGGGAAUGUAUUUUGCAAUAAUACAGAUCUAGCAAAUGGGCCUCUAAAAUCUAGGCUUAGAGCUGUAAGCCAGGCACUCCUGUAUUAUGUAUGUGUGAUUUUCAUAGAUAGCCUGCUGUAAAGUGUGCCCUGUUAGUGCAUCUUUCAGGCUCAAAGACACUGGUCUUGUUAAUAUUUCAUUUAGUACAUACUGUAGAGUCUCAUUUAUAUUACUUCUAUAAUUAAUGGUGAUAGCUUAGGCACUGCCUUUACAAGGAGAGAUCCCUGUAUGUUGGUCGAUGGAUAAUGAGAAACAAUAGAUAUUUCAUUCACCAGCAGCUUGUUGCUAGUUAGUAGGAAAUAAUCGUGUGUACUGUUGCUUUAAUUGCCAGGGUAAAUAAUGCCGCCGCUGUGUUAGUGAACAUUUUUAAAGCACUUGAUGCAAAUAGACUAGAAACAAAACACAAAAAAAUUACCUUUAUUAUACCUUAGCAUAGGGAGUUAAAAAGGUAUGUCUUAAAACAUUUGCGUUCUAUCAUGCAAAUAUAUCUUAAUAUGCAUGUGCUGACUAUUCAACUACUGUAUUUUAGGAAAUACAAUUAUGCUGCCUUUCUCUUCUCCUAUGUAGACUGUAAAUAACUGUAGAUCUUUCUCUUGUUUUCCCAUGUAAAUAUAUGUAAAUAUUAACAAGCUAUGCAUGCUGAUAUUCUAGGCAAUUUCAGGUACUUUUAUAAUCUGAAGGCAUGUACUUGAACUGGUUUGUUAAAAAAAAAAUCAACUCUCUCAAAUCCUUUAAAGCUCAUUAGAAAUUAAAGAUUUCUUACUAGA